UCAUGGUGGCAGCUUACAUACGAAAAGAGGAAGAUUUGCAGCGGAUGUUAGCUCAGGGCAAAUCUUCGUCAGGAAAAAAAAGGCAGAGGAGCAAACAAAGCCAUGAUUUACAAAGACUAAGAAGACUGAGAAAGAGUAGCAGAUAGAGUAGACUCAAUCACAGUCUCACUGUAACUCUGAUCCCACAUUCUGCAGUGACCAAAAUACUGAAGUGGGACUCACGAGACCCAGAUCUGGAGUAACCUUGAAUGGCAUGCCUAGCUUUUGAGUUUUCUCAUCUGAAUAAGGAAGAGAUGUAUAGAUGAAUUUCAAGAUCCUUUGGUAUCUUGACAUUCCACGAUUAUAAGUCCAAAAGUGUGUGCUUCACAAGACCGCCUAGAAAGAUGAUCGUUUCCAUGUCCCAAGCAAAGUCACGUCUUCUUUCAAGUCUAACCUGCACUCCACCUCUCCUUUCCCUCUGAGCACAGGGUGGAAAGGUUUGGGAUGAUUUGAUGAGAGCCGUUAAGAGCCAGGCCCAUCUUCAGACUGGACCUCAGGCUGGUGAGAAAGGCUCUCAUUCAUGCUGACACAGAUGUGUGGUUUCUAAGAAAGAAAGAGCUUCCGCAAGCAAUAGAGAACCAGGAAAACGGGACCUUGGGCAGGGACAGCCACACUCCAGAAUAAUCUGGGAUGGGGAAAGGCAGAGAGCAGGAGAGUGAGAUGAAAUCACUUUAACUUAGCCUUAGUCAUUGUUCUAAUGUUAGCUUGUGUGCUGUGAGCUUAUGGGACUGUCUUUUUGUGGGGUUAGCUUAGGACACCCAAAACUUGCUACAAAACUUCCUUUUCCAGGCAUUGCAACUUCCUCAUGUCACUCAAGUGCCCUGGUCCUUCUUUGGGCAUCCUCUCAUGCUGAGAGUCCCAGAGCUGAGCUACUAAGACAACACAUCAUACCAGGAUCAGAAUUUCCCCAAAAGACAACUUCACUGAGGAUCAGAUCCCUGAUGCCCUCUUUCAAAGAAUUUGGCAAUUUAAAGUCAAAUAUGGAUCUGAACUGGGGAAAUUCUCAAAGGUCCUUUAAUUCACUGAAUAAUUUAGAGUGGCUUACAGCAGUCCUGGCAUUCUGGGCCCCUUUUUUCUCCUGGAAAGGCUGAGUUUCAAGCUGAAUCCAGCUGAGCAUUAAUGAGGUUGCUCAGGUGGUGAGGUCAAGCCAGGAGGAAGCAUUAACUUGUCAAGUCUUAGCCUCAUGUUGAGGGCACCUGAUGAAUGACCCUGCCGUCUUUCAAGGUUGAGGGUGACACUCCCUGAUGGCCAUUACUGGCUAUUAGAAGACCUUGCUUAGAUCAGGAUUUGCAAACUUGCUAUUAAUCUUAGAAACCCUUCCUUUAAACCAAAUCUUAUAUGGCUUCUGAGGAGGUUUCCCAGAGCAGAGUUAGAAAAGAGCUGAAUCAAUUGGAAGACAAAUAAAAUGCAUAACUGCAAAAUUCCCUGCUGUUAGGGGAUUGUGGCGGGAGGUGGGGAGGUGUCUAAGGGUUAGUAGUGUUGCUUGGUCGUUUUUCAAGUCUGUUAAGUGUGGCAUUGUGAAUAACCUCGUAUUAUUGAUGAAAGAAUUACAAGGAAAAGGGAACAUCUCUAAAAAUAGAAUCUAGCCACCCUUGUACCCUAUGCUAUCUCAGCUGUCUUUCUGAGUUUCCCUCUGUGAUGAGGAUGAAGCUCAGAACUUUAGUAGAUAAGCCAACUGUCCCAAACGAAGAAUAACGAAUGGGCGGUGUCCACCAGUGACUAUCAAUAAAGUUACCAAAGGUAGGCCUGUGAUAGAACUACCCUCUUUUCUUCCACUCUUUUUUACUUUCCUUCCCUCCUUCCUAAUUUCAGAGUUCGAAAGAUAUUGAUGGUAGGCCUACUUUCCCACAUGGUUUCAUUAUGGUCUUCCCACCGAAACUAUUAACAAUGGCAUUAACUUUCAGCCCCUUUGUAAGAAAAUAACCUGCUUAAGUCAGGGGUUAAUAACAGUAGAGCAUCACUAAUUAUCCUGCAAAUCUUUACCCUGGUAUCAAACGUGACUUAAGUCUUUAAUGCCUCUGGAACGUCAGCCUCUAAAGACCCUGACUUGUUCCAUAAACAUAAUGACAGCAGCACAUUAGUGUCCUGGCCAUCUGUGACGAAAGAUGAGGGACAGAUGAAAAGCAGACAAAGGAGAAGAAUGCAGAGAGCAAGGACAAAGUCAAGGAAAGUGAAGAGAGGAGAGUAGCCAAAGAAACGAGGUCCCUUGGGUUGAGUUGGCUGGGCCUCCACACCUCUCGCCACGGGGACCAUCCGGCAUGGAGUUCUGAAGUGGUACAGUCCCAAAUCCCAGAGUGAGAGCCAUAUAAAACAAGACACUCUGAUGGGCCUGAAUUCAACCAGCACAGAUGCCAGGAACACCAAUGGUUUGCUUGAAGUUUGUGUCUAUCUAUGCUGGGCUGAGCGAACAACAAAAUGGGAGCUAGCACAGCCAGGAAAUUCUUUAGUGAAGAUGUUCAGAGUCCAACUGGGAGUGGAACUGCCAUGAUGGCUCUUCUAUUUAGCUCACUGUCUGCUGCUCCUAUCUUCUCAUUCUCAGUCCUCUGCCUCCAAACACGCUUGAGCAGCAGGCACAGAACCAUGUGAGCAAAAGCUUUAUAGCAAAAUGGCUUAAAGUUUCAAGAAUCUCUCACCCAACAGAAGCACAGGAGGUUCUUUUUUCAAGUAACUAGAACCUUCUUGACUUGCUGAGAUUUGAAAUAGAAAUUUCCGCUUAUGACCAGGAGAAAGAUAAUUGAAUUUCUAUUUCCCUUGCUUGGUGAUAUUUGCUCUCAAUUUCAAAAACAAGAGAGCCUCAAAACAUUAAUGAUCCAAUGAUGAGAAAUGGAAUAGCAGGUUAAAGGCAGCAUUGGAUGCGGAGCUGGGGAACUAAGGCUCUGUAAACUCUCUGGAGCUCACUUUUCUCAUGUUCAAAUGAUGGAACUAGAAGGUCUCUAAGGACUCCCCAGCUCUAACCAUAGUAUUUAAUGACACAAAACCACACAAGACACUUGGCUCUAGUUAGACCCCAAAUCAGAUAUAGGCUGGUAUAUUUUUGCAUGCCAAGUGGAAAAAAGUCUCUGAGUUUUUCAAAUCAGACUUCUCCUCCUGGAGUUUGGACUGCUUCCAGCUCAGUCCAGCCUAUCAAUUUAUAGAGUAAGGAUUGACUGUAUUUAAACUCAUGAUAGUGACCUAUGGAAACACCAAUCAGUGGUCCCCAAUAAGAAAUCAUCCACAUAUAGAUGCUUCCAAAUGGUUUCCAAUGAGUUACGUACCUUUGAUCAACUAUGUUUGCAUGGACAAGGGUAGUCUAGAUAAGAAAAUUUCAUCUGAUCUCCCUCUGCAGCCCCACCAUAUCGCUUUAUAGACCUAUACUCUAAAAAUCAGAAAUAUAACUUUCUUUACUGUUGCCCACCCACCCACUUCUAUUUUUCCAGAAGGAGUUGAAAAUGGACUAAAAUGAAUCAACACAGAAAGCAGGAGUGAUGUGAGAGAAGAAAUAAGGACCCUCAAUGGUCCAUGGCAUGUUGUCUCCGAGAGCAGGCGAGGGCAGGAACUGUGGAAAGCAGAGGGUGGCUUUUUAAACCAGACUUGGCAGAAAGCAGCAAAGCUUUCUAUGGCUAUGCUAGAAGUAGGUCACUCUAUGCUACUCUGUGCUGGCAUGAAUAGCAAUCGAGCAAAUACACGAACAUUCUAUUUACCUAGCCAUGGAGAUGAAAACAUUCCUGUGGGGGAAAAAUGCAGCCAAAAGGUUCUGACACAACCAGAGGGAUGAGGAGGCAUUCAAAUGGCUUAUGAUUUCAUCCAGAACGGUUUGCUUGUUCCUAACACAGUGUUUCUCUGGAUCUUUUCAAACCUCUGCAAAGAGUUUAUCCACAUGAUACUCAUUAAAGUCUCAUUUGAAAGGGAAAAAAAUAAGCCCAAAGUUCUUUGAAAAAGGCAGGGUUAUCUGAGCCACAGAUGUACUGGGACAAAGAAACUGGCAGCAUUGAACAUGAGAUCCAGGAAGAAAAAGCAACACAAAGAUUCAGGAAAUGAAACCAGGACUAAAUCAUAUUAGGUGUAUAAAGGUUGGACUUCUUAUAAAACAAGGAAAGAGUGGAUUGAAUGUCUGAGAGAAUAUUCUGAAUGUAAAAAUGACAGACUGUUGGUGAAGGAGCUGGUGUCUUUCCCAGGACCCAGAAGAAUGACAGCAUGGGCUAUGGGGCAAUUUGUAAGGCCAAGUAUUGGGACCAAGCUAGAUCUCUCCCAGGCUUCACAUCCCAUAAUCAUGGGGGUUUAUAUAAAAAUGUCUAAAGGAAUUUCACCCUUUAGGAAUUUCACUUCUAGGAGUUGGGAUUAAUUCUCCCUUCCCAUUUAAGUCUCUUUAUGUAUGGCUCUAUUUUGAAAGAAGUAUCAUAAUUUUAGGAAAACACUCAGCCACCAUUUCCCCAUUGUGUUCCAUUUUCUGGGCCCUCAAACACUUCUCUUCUUCUGCUUCCCUGCUGCUACCUCAUCAGGCGCAUUCUGAAGGGGGCUGGAGACGGAAUUGAGUAUCCCAGCCACCAUAAAACCUAAGCACACAGUCUCACAAAGAAACUUAGAGAUACUGUCCUCAUUUUACAGAUGUCCAAUCCUUCAACAGAAUAAACUCCACAUCCCCCAUUUAAAAUGUAACAAAAGCUCAGAGAGUUAAGCAUUUUGCCCAAGGUCACACGGAGCAUUAGCUCUUAAGAAAUCCAAGGAAAGAAUCUCAGACUAAGGUUCUUUCUGUUAUAUUGCCUCUCAAAAUCCAGAAAAAAUUGAAAAUAUAAUUUUUAUAUUCCAAGAUGCUUCGACUUUGAAUAUUUUCUUUAUUGCUCCAUCCAGUAUAUUUAAUUUUAGACUCUCUGCACCAUAUAAAGUGCUGUCAAAAUUCAAGUUCUGUCAACAGCCGGUAACUGUUGUGGUCCAACGAAUGCUGUGAAUGUUAUGUGUUUAAUGCUCAAGCAAAAAUGUCAAUUUUCACCUUGGCGUUAUUAGACCUAGGGAAAAAAAAUCAAUUUGGCCCAUAAGAUGUUCAACAGCCACUCUCCUACGUCCUUCCUUUUCCCCUCCUAAGCAUAUCUCUGUUCCUCCAUUUUUUGUCCCAUCACCAGGUAUAAAAGAAUACAGGCAUCGCACAUCUCAACAAAGACUUUACAGAAAAUUAGAUAAAAAGGGAAUCAAUUUUUUUAUCCAAUGCUUGAUUAUCAUUAGACCAGCAGUCUUAUUUCCUUUAGACCAAAAAUAGUUUCUUGUAGAAAUAAAGUCACUUUUAUGGUUAGUAAUUGCAUCCAAUGCAUUUCUGUAGCAAAUGACACAAACUCAUUUAUGAAGUAACUCCUUUUCGUUAAUUGAGGAAGAAAGUCUGUGUAUCCCCCAUAUUUGUGAAUAUAAAGAGAUGGAAAAGAAGAGGUUAACUGACUUUCUCUAAAUCACACCACGAAACAAAUUAGAGUUAGAGUUCACAGCUCCUGCCUCUUCUGUCCAAUUUGUUAUUGGAGUCACAGAGGAAUGUCUUUCAGUGAAACUUCUUGAGAUUUUAUGUACCUAAUUCUGUUCUGUUUCCCUAGGGAGGAAGUGUAGUGAAGGGGAAAGAGAAUGGACUUUAGAAUCAGACAGACGUGGUUAGACUCCCAACUCUGACAUUUGCUGGUCACACGAGCCCAGGCAACUUACAUAACCUCGGAGCCUCUGUGUCUUCAUUUGUAAAAUGUAGAUAAUAACACAUACUUCAAAGGGUAUGUGAGGAUUAAAUGAGACUGGGUAUGAAAUGUACAGCAGGUACUCAAUACAUGUAUGCAAACUUCUUGUCUGUAUUUUUUUUCCUGGACAAUUAAAAUAUAACUGGGCCACAAGAGAGAGAUGACAUAUUAGAAAUUGGAGACCCAUCCUCACAUAUUUCCCAAUAGCUUGUGAAUUCUAACAUUUCAACUUGAAUUUAGAUAAAUUUUGUAGAGAAAAUGCACUGAUGGUACUAGUGAGAAUGCUAGUGCCUUCUCACUGGGCAGCAUGGAUUAGGGAAAAUGUGAACUGGAAAAAGGAAAACCAAGGAUCUCUUGACUCGGCCACUAGUGGGCUGUGUGAACUUUCAUUCAUUCAUUCAUGCAUUCAUUUAUUUCUUUAAAAAGUAUUUUACUGCAUCCCAACUUCAUGCCAAAUACUAAAGGUUACAAAUAUGAAUGAGCCUGCCCAUAAGGAGUUUACAUUCUAGAAUGGGCAGGGAAAAAACAAACAAACAACAACUAGGAAUGCAAUGAAGGGGCUGUGAGAGAUGUGUACACAGGACAGAGUGAGCGUGUAAGGAAAGAUUAGCCAAUUCUUCCAAAGGAGAGACCAUCAGGAAGGUUUCAAAAGAGAGAUGAUAUUUGCACUAAGUAUAAGGUAAGAGUGGUUAUCCAAGCACAGUGUGUGUGACAAGGGGAAGACACACUCGUCUUACUCUUGGCUAUGAUGUGAAGCCAUGUAAUAAUAGUAAGGCACAUCCUAGGCCAUCAAGAUGGCGCGUGGCAGGCUGUACAAAGCUGAAGAGCUCACUGGAGGCCAGAUUACAGAAGACUCUGUGUGCCAUGCUUAAGAGUUUGAACUUUACUCUCCAGCAAAAGGGAGUAAAAGACAAGACCUGAUUUGUGCUUUUAGAAAGGUACCUGUGGAAUGUAAGACCAGAAGGGCUGAGAUCAAAGACAAAGGGGAGAUCAACUACUAAGUGUCAAGUUAAGAGGGGUAAAGGGUUUGCCCUAUGGAAAGGAGAUGACAGGAAGGGCAGAGGAGAAAUAGAAAGGGAAGAAUUAACAGAGUGAGCCAUUCCUUGGACGUGGGGAUGAGGGGAAGGGAAGAUGUGUGGAUAACCUUGGAAGGCUGACGUGAGGUUUGCGCCAUUCACCCAUAGAGGAAACACAGGAUGGGAGCAGCUGUGAGUGAGAAAGCGGAAGUUCGAUAGGCUGAGUUUGAAUUACAUGUUGUACCUCCAGGUAGAAACAUCCCAUAGAUCUGUAAAUGGACAUGUCAGAAGCACAUGGAACACAGCAAAACUCUCACGUAUCGUCACGUACAAGUUAUGGCAAAUUGAAGUCAUGGGAAUGGAUGAAUUCACCUCCGAGUGAGCAUUGUGUAAGGUUAGGGGCCAGGGAUGAUACCAGGGACAACACUAUCCUUUCAGGCAUAGGCUUCUCUGGGCCUCAGUUUCCUGUUCUAUCAAGUGAGAAGAAUGGGCUUUGUGCUUUCUUAGGUGACUUUCUCUUCUACAAUGUCUCAUUUCGUGCUUUUAUACUCGGCUCAGACUUUCACUUACAAACGGCUCUCUUUUCUUUCUUCCACCUUUGUUAUUUUUGGAAAAGGUUGUUUGAAGCUUAAGCUCCUGUGAAGUGGCCCCUUGAUCUUCCUGUCAUGAGGACAUGCAUGCAAAGAGUACAGCAGGGAGACUCCACAGAAGAAGAAAAGGCAAGCGAGAAUCAGGGCAGGUCUCAGCUCCAGGACGUGGCCCUUCUCACGCCUUCAAAGAAGCCACAAGAGCAUGGAGUUCCCUCCCACUCCUCAGUUGUUCAGGCUUUGUCUUCUGUGGAGAUGGAAAGUAACCACUUGGGAGCCCCUCGUAAUAUCUGCAAAUGCACGACCACUGCGCUCUGCAGCCCCAAAUGCCUUUGACUGCAAAGCCCAGCGCUGCUCCACUUCACAGGAGGAAGCUAAGUUCGCGUAGUCAUACUUCUGAAACUCCAGCAGGGGUGAACCGUGGGAGGGGGUCACAAUUUCCACUUAGGAAGAAAGAAAGGCAAAUGACUGCACUGACCAAGGAUAAGACAACCAUCUAGUUAUGCUUCACCACAAUCCAAGACCCUACAUGUCUCCACUAAAGAUAGAGGCUGUCAUGUGAGCUCCCAGGGUUUAUGCGACUUCUCAACCAAAGAGCAUGUCCCUCUCAAAAUAAAAAUCUCCAGGGUGGUACAUUCUGAGUCCAAUUCCUGUUUUCAUAACUCAAACCUAUUAUUCUAAUCCCAACCUAUCUAUAGGAAAGGUGAACUCCGAUAACUGCCUUGCUUUCCACUUUAAGGUUUUUCACCUCUUCACUUUUCCUUUCAAAUUCUUUCCAUUUCAGAGGGAAAGCUAUUCUGUUUCUUCCCAAAGUUCAACCCCUCUACCUAGGCCCUUCAUCUUCUUCCUCACUUGCUCUCUCUCAGGAUGUUGCUCUAUUACCCUAUCUCUUUUACCUUCAAUCUGUCUUUCCAGUAUUUCUUCCUCCUUGGUCUAAAAUAAUACUAAAAGUCAUUCUCACCUCCAUCUGCUCCAAAAGAAACUUUGCACCUUGAUUUUGACUUUUCUUACCGCCUUUUUUCCUUUUCAUUAAUUGCUAACCCUUCAAAAGUGGAGCCUACAAAUUCAUUUUCUUCACUCAUUUUCCCAUUUACUUUUUAAGCUGCUAACUUCUGGAUUCUUCCCCAAAUGAUAUGGGGUGUGAGCAGAAGAGUUCUAACUGGGCCAAGAUCCUCUUGGAAACAUGGCUGGGAUACAGCAGUCAAUGUCGAAUAGAUGAAGGCAUCAACACAGGAAAGGGAUGGA